AGAGUUUGAUCAUGGCUCAGGAUGAACGCUGGCGGCGUGCUUAACACAUGCAAGUCGAACGAAGCACCUUGAUUUGAUUCUUCGGAUGAAGAUCUUGGUGACUGAGUGGCGGACGGGUGAGUAACGCGUGGGUAACCUGCCUCAUACAGGGGGAUAACAGUUAGAAAUGACUGCUAAUACCGCAUAAGACCACAGCACCGCAUGGUGCAGGGGUAAAAACUCCGGUGGUAUGAGAUGGACCCGCGUCUGAUUAGGUAGUUGGUGGGGUAACGGCCUACCAAGCCGACGAUCAGUAGCCGACCUGAGAGGGUGACCGGCCACAUUGGGACUGAGACACGGCCCAAACUCCUACGGGAGGCAGCAGUGGGGAAUAUUGCACAAUGGGGGAAACCCUGAUGCAGCGACGCCGCGUGAGCGAUGAAGUAUUUCGGUAUGUAAAGCUCUAUCAGCAGGGAAGAAAAUGACGGUACCUGACUAAGAAGCACCGGCUAAAUACGUGCCAGCAGCCGCGGUAAUACGUAUGGUGCAAGCGUUAUCCGGAUUUACUGGGUGUAAAGGGAGCGUAGACGGAGUGGCAAGUCUGAUGUGAAAACCCGGGGCUCAACCCCGGGACUGCAUUGGAAACUGUCAAUCUAGAGUACCGGAGAGGUAAGCGGAAUUCCUAGUGUAGCGGUGAAAUGCGUAGAUAUUAGGAGGAACACCAGUGGCGAAGGCGGCUUACUGGACGGUAACUGACGUUGAGGCUCGAAAGCGUGGGGAGCAAACAGGAUUAGAUACCCUGGUAGUCCACGCCGUAAACGAUGACUACUAGGUGUCGGGCAGCAAAGCUGUUCGGUGCCGCAGCAAACGCAAUAAGUAGUCCACCUGGGGAGUACGUCGGCAACGGUGAAACUCAAAGGAAUUGACGGGGGCCCGCACAAGCGGAGGAACAUGUGGUUUAAUUCGAUGAUACGCGAGGAACCUUACCCGGGCUUGAAUUGCAGAGGAAGGAUUUGGAGACAAUGACGCCCUUCGGGGCCUCUGUGAAGGUGCUGCAUGGUUGUCGUCAGCUCGUGCCGAGAGGUGUCGGCUUAAGUGCCAUAACGAGCGCAACCCCUCUCCAUAGUUGCCAUCAGGUGAAGCUGGGCACUCUGUGGACACUGCCACCGUAAGGUGCGAGGAAGGUGGGGAUGACGUCAAAUCAGCACGGCCCUUACGUCCGGGGCUACACACGUGUUACAAUGGCAGGUACAGAGAGCCGGUCGUAUGCAAAUACGAUCCAAUCCUUAAAGCCUGUCUCAGUUCGGACUGGGGUCUGCAACCCGACCCCACGAAGCUGGAUUCGCUAGUAAUCGCGCAUCAGCCAUGGCGCGGUGAAUACGUUCCCGGGCCUUGUACACACCGCCCGUCAAGCCAUGAAAGCCGGGGGCGCCUGAAGUCCGUGACCGCAAGGAUCGGCCUAGGGCGAAACUGGUAAUUGGGGCUAAGUCGUAACAAGGUA
rnacentral:rRNA from 1 species